rnacentral:rRNA from 1 species
UACGUAGGGUGCAAGCGUUGUCCGGAAUUAUUGGGCGUAAAGAGCUCGUAGGCGGUUUGUCGCGUCUGCUGUGAAAACGCGAGGCUCAACCUCGCGCCUGCAGUGGGUACGGGCAGACUAGAGUGUGGUAGGGGAGAUUGGAAUUCCUGGUGUAGCGGUGGAAUGCGCAGAUAUCAGGAGGAACACCGAUGGCGAAGGCAGAUCUCUGGGCCAUUACUGACGCUGAGGCGCGAAAGCGUGGGGAGCGAUCCGG